rnacentral:rRNA from 1 species
GACGAACGCUGGCGGCGUGCUUAACACAUGCAAGUCGAACGGAAAGGCCCUGCUUGCAGGGUGCUCGAGUGGCGAACGGGUGAGUAACACGUGGGUGAUCUGCCCCUUACUUUGGGAUAAGCCUGGGAAACUGGGUCUAAUACUGGAUAGGACCAUGCUGUAGGUGGUGUGGUGGAAAGAUUAGUUUCGGUAAGGGAUGAGCUCGCGGCCUAUCAGCUUGUUGGUGGGGUAAUGGCCUACCAAGGCGUCGACGGGUAGCCGGCCUGAGAGGGUGGACGGCCACAUUGGGACUGAGAUACGGCCCAGACUCCUACGGUAGGCAGCAGUGGGGAAUAUUGCACAAUGGGCGCAAGCCUGAUGCAGCGACGCCGCGUGGGGGAUGACGGCCUUCGGGUUGUAAACUCCUUUCAGCCAUGACGAAGCCCUUGUGGUGACGGUAGUGGUAGAAGAAGCACCGGCUAACUACGUG